GACGAACGCUGGCGGCGUGCUUAACACAUGCAAGUCGAGCGGUAAGGCCCUUUCGGGGGUACGACGAGCGGCGAACGGGUGAGUAACACGUGGGUGACCUGCCCUCAGCUCUGGGAUAAGCCUGGGAAACUGGGUCUAAUACUGGAUAUGACUCCACGGUGAAUGUCGUGGGGUGGAAAGCCUUGUGCGGCUGAGGAUGGGCCCGCGGCCUAUCAGCUUGUUGGUGGGGUGAUGGCCUACCAAGGCGACGACGGGUAGCCGGCCUGAGAGGGCGACCGGCCACACUGGGACUGAGACACGGCCCAGACUCCUACGGGAGGCAGCAGUGGGGAAUCUUGCGCAAUGGGCGAAAGCCUGACGCAGCGACGCCGCGUGAGGGAUGACGGCCU
rnacentral:rRNA from 1 species